rnacentral:rRNA from 1 species
GAUGAACGCUAGCUGGAGGCUUAAUACAUGCAAGUCGAGCGGGAUUGGCAGCGAUGCCAUGAGAGCGGCGCACGGGUGAGUAACGCGUACACGACCUACCUCUAACAGGGGGAUAGCCCUGGGAAACUGGGAUUAAUACCGCAUAUAAUUUUGAUUUUAAAAGUUCAAAAUGAAAGUUCAGGCGGUUAGAGAUGGGUGUG